rnacentral:rRNA from 1 species
UACGGGGGGGGCAAGCGUUGUUCGGAAUUACUGGGCGUAAAGGGCUCGUAGGCGGCCAACUAAGUCAGACGUGAAAUCCCCAGGCUCAGCCUGGGAACUGCGUCUGAUACUGGAUGGCUUGAAUUCGGGAGAGGGAUGCAGAAUUCCAGGUGUAGCGGUGAAAUGCGUAGAUAUCAGGAGGAAUACCGAUGGCGAAGGCAGGUCUCUGGGCUGACACUGACGCUCAUGCACGAAAGCGUGGGGAGCAAACAGG